CGAAGGGGCUAGCGUUGUUCGGAAUUACUGGGCGUAAAGGGCGCGUAGGCGGCCUUGAUAGUUGGGCGUGAAAGGCCUGGGCUUAACCCGGGAACUGCGUUCAAUACUGCGAGGCUAGAGUGUGGGAGAGGUUGGUGGAAUUCCCAGUGUAGAGGUGAAAUUCGUAGAUAUUGGGAAGAACACCGGUGGCGAAGGCGGCCAACUGGACCACAACUGACGCUGAGGCGCGAAAGCGUGGGGAGCAAACAGGAUUAGAUACCCUGGUAGUCCACGCUGUAAAUUAUGUGUGCUUGACGUCGGGGGGCCUAGCCCUUCGGUGUCGGAGCUAACGCGGUAAGCACACCGCCUGGGGAGUACGGUCGCAAGAUUA
rnacentral:rRNA from 1 species